UCUGUUUAAGUGAUAAAGUAGACCUAAUAUGUAUAAUUUAAGCAAUUUCUUAUAAAUAUGUGGCUAUUUUAGAGAAAAUAUGAGUAAGUAAAUCAUAGAGACAUACAGUGACUUUUCUAACAGGAAUGACCCACAACUUUAACUUGCUUUAAAGCAGACUCAAAUUUAAAAGUGCCCUUAUGAAAGAGACGUUUAUUCAAGAGUGCUGUUAGUAUACUUCUUCUAAACUAAAAAUAGGGAAGUAUACUUUGUCUACUGUUCUUGUACUUCUCAGAAAUAUACUCAUGACUUUUCCCACACUUGCAGUCUUUGCACUUGACAACUUAUAUGACAUAUUUCGUGUGUUUGGUUCAAGUGAGGGUGAAGACCACAAGUGUGUGUCAAACUUUUCAGUACCUUAUGGGACACACUUAUAGUGUUGUAAAAAUGCAAAUGUUUACAUAGCUUUAUUUUAAUUUAAAAUACUUUGCAUUAUAAAUCAACUUCUAAAUGUCUGUUCAGUAGUCCCUAAAACAUGACAACUGUAAUUAAAUUAUAAAAAGAAGUUGCAAAUGUUGUACAAAAUAAAUAUCACCACUACUCAUCUUUGCACCAAUAAAACGUAAAAACACUGUUUUUCUACCAAAUUAUUUGUAAUAUCUAAUUAUUAUAUUAAUAUUUAACUUGCAUUGGAAAGGUUUCCGUGACCUCUUGCGAGAUCUCGGGAAAAAGUCUCACGAUUUAUUUCCAGAACAUGAUGCAUGAUGGGAUACACUCAGCAUAAAUAGUGUCUACAGAAACACAGAAGAGGAAAUACACAGUCUGCUACAGGAGAGAAACUAGUGCUAGAUUGUUGGCAUCUUGACGACACGGAAACUGCAGAAAGUGAACAAAAAUAUAGAAAAGGGAAAAUGAACAGAGAACAUCGGAAAAGCAUCAAUGAUAUCUAUGAAAAUGCCUUUGUUACAGAAGGUAAAUUUGGAGAAAGGACAACAGACAGUCACACAAAGAAAAUCCAGUCAUCUGAACUCACAGGAAGUGAUGGUGUGAAGAGCAGGAGCUCCAGAGCAGUUGUGGUGUGUUUGCCGCUGCUGUGUGUUCUUCUGACCGCAGCCAAAGUGCUGUGUGUCCUCAUCCAUUCAAAGAGCACAGACUACACACAAGAGAGACAACAGCUACUAACUAAGAUCACCAACCUCACAGAAGAGAGAGACCAACUACUAACCAACAAUAUGAACCUCACAGAAGAGAGAGACCAGCUGAAAUCAGAAAAAAGUGAACUUCAGAAGUUUUCUGCUGGUGUUUGCCAGUUCUUCAGUCUAAACGGUGGAUGGAAGUGCCAUCAAUCCAGUCUUUACUUCAUUUCCUCUGAGAAGAAGAGCUGGACUGAGAGCAGAAGAUACUGUACAGACAGAAGAGCAGAUCUGAUCAUCAUAAACAACAGAGAGGAACAAGAUUUUGUGAAGGACAUUUCUGGUGGUGAUUUAGUCUGGAUUGGUCUGACUGACAGUCAUGUGGAGGGCAGAUGGAAAUGGGUUGAUGGCAGCGAUGUGACCUCUGGGUUCUGGGAGGAUGGACAACCGAAUAGCUUCCAGGGAAAAGAGGAAGACUGUGCUCUAAUUCACUCACCAGGAUGGGCUGAUUAUCCAUGUGAUUAUUCAUCUAAAUGGAUCUGAGCUGGGACGAGACAGACAAUCUUGCAAGUCAAGACAAGGCAGGACAAAAUCGAUGGCGCAAGAGGGUGGAAGGAAAAAUCCUUUUGUAGUUCGCCCAAGUUAUGAUUGCUGGGCUCCGUGGAUUGGACCUAAUACCCGAAAGUCAGACAUUGUUCUAAACACUGAGCAUGCAAAACUACAAAAAACAAAGUCCUGUGAUGUUCCAGAUCUUGACAUCACAGAGGAAAGGUUAGGUGAUGAGCUCUUUAAUCUUAAGGUAUGAACAAAUUUACAAUGUCUAAUUAUGUUUUGCGAUCAUUUUGGUUGAUGCAGUGAGGAAGCUGUGCAAAGAAUGUGGAUUGGACGCAAAGGGAUCAAGGAUGAAUAAUUUGCACAGUAUUUGGUAUUUUAUGGUGAUUUUGUUUUUCCCUGUGUGGAGUAAAUUCUUUCUAGACAGUCUGUGUAGUUUACACGGUUUUUAUUUAUUUAUUUAUAAUUGAAGAUCAGAUGCUGAAAGACAGCUACUCAGAAAAAGGCGCAAAACAAGGAACACAGGUGUAACUUUAACUAAAAUAGGUUUGCAACUGUUACGGGGCUGACGAGACGUGAAAUGUGUGGAUCCAUGUGCAAGCUUUUAUUGAAGAGAGACGUGGUCAUAACAGGCAGGGUCAAACAAUGGCAGACAGGUAUAUCAGAGGUAAUGCAAAGACUAGUCCAAAACGGGCGUGGGUCAUACAACAGUGAACAGUCACAAAAGGGGCUUGACGAGAGGUAAUCCAAACGUAAGUGAUAGUCCAGGCAGGGGUAAACACAAUCCGACUUAGGCAAGGCUAGAAAAACUAAUGGCGCUUUUUCACUGCAUGGUACGGCACGGUACGGUUCAGUACGGCUCACUUUUGGGGGGUUUUCCACUGGGAACAGUACCUGGUACCUGGUACUUUUUUUAGUCCCACCUCGGCCGAGGUUCCAAGCGAACCGUACCGUUACCAAAACGUGACGUGUAAACUCUGCUGAUCACUGCCUGCGUCAUUGAACUUGCGGCACGAGACACAACAGACCCGCUAGAUUUAAAUCAGCAGCCAGCGAAGGAUUGAACACAACUGUUUUGAAUGAGCACACCUUUCUUUUAACAACCAAAAAAAUGGCAGUUUCGUUGUCUGUUGGGGAAGUACAGACUGUCCUCUCGUUGAUAGCUGACGAGCGGAUCCAGCGAUGCGGAAUUAAAAUGUUUUUCAGGAGUCACAGCAGUAGAGGCGGUGCAACUAUAACGACACGUGAAUAAUCCGCCCACUCUAAAGCGGUACUAAACUGCAGUGGAAACGCAAACUGAGUCGAACUGAGCCGUGCCGUGCCGAUCUGAACCGUGCCGAGCCGAGUCGUACCACGCAGUGGAAAAGCGCCAUAACAGGUUUCUGUAGGGCAGCGAUAAUGCAUAUAAUACUUGGCAGUGAGGCAGAGAAAGUCCAUGGCUUAAGUAGGGGGUGAAAUGGGAAUCAGCUGUGUGAUCAGACUCGGGUGUAAGCAUGUGAUUGGCUGCAGCUGAGUGUAAUGAGUGCAAUGGAUUGUGGGAACUGAAGUUCAGUGUAAGUGUAACUAUCUGUGCAGUGUAAGAGUCGAUGUGGUGAAUGGUGGAGGGUGAAUGGAAGUUCAUGGACAGGAUUCGUGACA